ACCAGCUCCUCCAUUGAUACCUCUUCCCCUUUCUCUCUCUAAAAAAAUUGUUAUUUUAUAGUGAGAGAAAAAGAGGAUUCAAGAAUCAUCAAAAGGCAAAAAAAAUAAUCAUGGCUUUAUCAAACACCUUAUCAUUGUCAUCAUCAAAAUCCCUUGUUCAAUCUCAUCUGCUCCAUAAUCCUACACCCCAACCUCGUUUUUCCCUUUUUCCGACCACCCAACAUGGGCGGCGCCACCCUAUCUCCGCCGUACACGCGGCGGAGCCAUCCAAGACUGCAGUUAAGCAAGGAAAAUGGAGUCUUGAUAGCUGGAAAACAAAGAAAGCUUUACAACUUCCUGAAUACCCAGAUGAGAAAGAACUUGAAUCGGUGCUUAAAACACUUGAAAUGAAUCCACCCCUUGUGUUUGCUGGUGAGGCAAGGAGUUUGGAAGAGAAGCUUGGUGAGGCUGCAUUGGGGAAAGCUUUUUUUGUUACAAGGGGGAGACUGUGCUGAGAGUUUUAAGGAGUUUAAUGCCAAUAAUAUUCGUGAUACUUUCAGGAUUUUGCUUCAGAUGAGUGUUGUUCUUAUGUUUGGUGGACAAGUUCCUGUCAUUAAGGUUGGAAGAAUGGCCGGUCAGUUUGCAAAACCAAGAUCAGAUCCGUUUGAGGAGAUAAAUGGAGUGAAGCUACCAAGUUACAAGGGUGACAAUAUCAAUGGUGAUACGUUCGAUGAGAAGUCAAGAAUUCCAGAUCCUCAUAGGCUUAUUAGGGCAUACAUGCAAUCUGCUGCGACUCUUAAUCUUCUUAGAGCUUUUGCUACUGGAGGUUAUGCUGCAAUGCAGAGGGUCACUGAAUGGAAUCUUGAUUUUGUGGAGAA
rnacentral:misc_RNA from 1 species